GCUGGCGUAGCUCAGUUGGUAGAGCAGCUGAUUUGUAAUCAGCAGGUCGUGGGUUCGAGUCCCUCCGCCAGCUCCA
rnacentral:tRNA from 1 species